AGCGAACGCUGGCGGCAGGCUUAACACAUGCAAGUCGAACGGGCGUAGCAAUACGUCAGUGGCAGACGGGUGAGUAACGCGUGGGAACGUACCUUUGGUUCGGAACAACCCAGGGAAACUUGGGCGUAAUACCGGAUAAGCCCUUACGGGGAAAGGAUUUAUCGCCGAAAGAUCGGCCCGCGUCUGAUUAGCUAGUUGGUGUGGUAACGGCGCACCAAGGCGACGAUCAGUAGCUGGUCUGAGAGGAUGAUCAGCCACAUUGGGACUGAGACACGGCCCAAACUCCUACGGGAGGCAGCAGUGGGGAAUAUUGGACAAUGGGCGGCAAGCCUGAUCCAGCCAUGCCGCGUGAGUGAUGAAGGCCCUAGGGUUGUAAAGCUCUUUGUGCGGGAAGAUAUGACGGUACCGCAAGAAUAAGCCCCGGCUAACUUCGUGCCAGCAGCCGCCGUAAG
rnacentral:rRNA from 1 species